rnacentral:tRNA from 1 species
GGGGAUUUAGCUCAGUGGUAGAGCACUUGCCUAUAGCAAGCGCAAGGCCCUGGGUUCAGUCCCCA